rnacentral:lncRNA from 1 species
CUAUUUGCUACAGAGCUAGAACCUUUAUUACUUUUUAAAAAUAAUUUCAACUUUUAUUUUAGAUUCAUAGGGUAUAUGUACAGUUUUGUUAUAUAAGAAUAUGGGCAAUGCCAAGGUUUGGGGUAUGAUUGAUCACAUCAGCUGGUUACUGAGCAAGCUACCUAAUAGUUAGUUUUACAACCCUUGCCCCCUUUUUUAGGAGUCCCCAUUGUCUAUUAUUGCCAACUGUAUCUCCAUGAAUAUACACUUAUAAGUGACAGCAAACAUGCAGUAUUUCGUUUUCUACAAUAUGAGGCUACAGUAACCAAAACAGCAUGAUUCUAGUGCAAAAACAGAUACACAGACCAAUGGAACCGAAUAGAGAACCCAGAAAUAAAGCCACACGCCUACAGGCAACUGGUCUUUGACAAAGUUGGCAAAAGUAAGCGAUGAGGAAAGAACUCCCCAUUCAGUAAAUGAUGCUGGGAUACCUGGCUAGCUAUAUGCAAAUCUCUGGCGUCUAAAACUUCACAGGUGGAAUGCAAAGUAAGGGCAGGAGACUAAGCCAACUCCAAGAUGGCCGCCAAUGAUCCCCACUUCCUGGUGUUCAUGUCUUUGUCUAAUUCCUUUUCUGUGUGGGCCUGAUCUAUUGACUCGCUUCUAAUGAAUAGAAUAUGUUUAAAAUGAUGUGAUGUCACUUUUGAGAUUAAGUUACAGAAGACUCCAUGUUGGGAGUUGUGCCUCACCCUCUUGGGGAAAGCCAGCUGUCAUGAUGUGAGGAAAACACUCUUCUGCUUUUUUCUUCCUCACUCACUUAUCCUAGUGCACUUCUACUAUUUUCUUUUCCAGAUGUGAUUAGGAACUCUUUAUGAACCAGAAAAGAGAAAUCUUGCACUGAUUGGAAUAUGGCAGCCACUCACCAUCUCCCCUGUCUGCUCUCACUCAGUUUAUGUGACCCAAUGGGAAUGGAGAAUCUCAGGCAUAAAACCAACUGCUUCGUGGGUUACUCUGGAAAAUUCUAAACUGAAGCUUUUUGAGAAAGGCGACAUUACCUCAGAACUUCCACAUGUAGCUACUGUGGAGUUUCUGUUUAUGUGAAUGGAUAUUUUCACCAGAUAUUGGAAACAUGCUGAAGCUGGAUUCCAGUGCAAUAAAGGCAACUCAUUUAGCCAUUGGCCUGUGAUACUAUGAGAAAUACAGUUAAAUUAGACGAAUGCUCCACCAGGAAUUGUGGCCAAAAUAAAUGAUCAUUUUUUAAAAAAGCUAAGGCAGAGACCAGCUAAAUCUAUUUUCUGUGGCUUUUCACAGUACCAACUUUUCCUAUAUAAUUCCAAGUGAUGAUAUGGAGAGAAAGUAGGAAGGUGGUUGCCAUCUAAUAUCAAGAGAGUUGAGAAUGACCCUCGGGAUGGGAGAAGGUGGUAAGAUACCUACCUUCACCUAAACAGGUUGCUUCCCAGAGACUUAAAUGCUUCUUUUAUAUGGUACUCAUUUAACCCUCACAGCAACACUUUUUUUUUUGAGACAAAAUCUCACUUUGUCGCCCAGGCUGGAGUGCAGUGGCACAAUCUCGGCUCACUGCAACCCCUGCCUCCAGGGUUCAAGCAAUUCUUGUGCAAAGAAAUUAAUUUAAAGAUGAUUAGUCCUGACUCAAAAAGUUGGAGAAACCUUUGAAAAGUGAGUAAAUAUUAUUACAAAUUUGUGGGUGAUUUUUCUUAUCUUUCCAUUUGGUAAUUCUAGGUGAUCUGGUUUAGUCAGCAUGACUAUGUGUCUUCUCUCCUCAGGCCUUCCUAAAGCCAAAGAAAACAAAAAUGGCAUUGAAUGCUAUGCUCCAGAAUUAAGCAAAUUCACUUUCUGCAUCCACCCUUCAAUAAAGGGCCCAAAACUACUCAUGUAUGCAAUUGUAGCAGGUGUUUUUCAGGACAAAAAUACCCUAAUAUUUCAAAAGUGUUCAAAAAUGGGAACCAGUGCUAGGGCAAACUCCAGAGAGAUCCCCAGUACUUUUCUGUGGCUGAAGAAGUCUGUUCACAGAAGGCUCCAUCUGGCUGUGGUAGACAGGUGCAAGAAGACACACAUGCAUACACACACGAUUUUUUUUUAUUUUCAGUAGAGAUGGGGUUUCACCAUGUUGGCCAGGAUGGCCUCAAUCUCCUGACCUCAUGACCCACCCACCCUGGCCUCCCAAAGUGCUGGGAUUAUAGACAUGAGCCACCACGCCCAGCCUAAAGCUCAAUUUUUAAAGGACAGCACCUGACUUCAAAAAUCCUAAGGUUCUUCUCUCAGUGCCUUGAGAUCUGCCAUCAUUUAAAACAUUUGUGUUGAAGACUCUUCAAUCUUAUUAAAAUAUUUGGCUAUAUUAAAGUCACAUGACAUUAGCCGAUGAUAAAUAUUUCUCCUCCCCAGCCCUGAUUUAUGAGGACCAGCUAGUAAAUAGUCUCUGAUUCAAACAGUGAUUAACCAUUAUUCAUGAAGCAAAAUGAGCCUGCCCUGUCAUGUCAUAAAUUUAAUGUAAUCUCAUCUUGUUUCACUUUUUUUAUUCACAGUUUCCUUCCAAAUUUCAUCUUCUCCCAUCUCCCUACAAACUUCAAAAGAGGUGUACAAAGGAACUUAAGAGCCAUUUUCUGCUUACCCACCUCUUUAGAAGGUGGGGAGGAUGACUCAGGAAAAUGCAGUAACUGACUGAUGCUAAUGCAGAGUUCCUGUUCUUGAACAGGAGAUUCAGGACAGGGUGAUGAGGGUGAGCCAGGAGAGAGAUCUUUCUCCAAGCCAAGUAAAGGCUACUGACUUCAGUGACCCUGGGACAUCACACCUGAGGGUAAUUGAAUGGUGACAAGCUUCUUCUUAUAAUCAAAAUAGUAUUAGCCUGAGUAUGAAAAAUGGAAGAAUUCUAGUGUAUUUCAUUUCCAACUUAACAUCUAUCAAGUAAUAUGUUGCUGGUUUCCAGCCUCAUUGCUAAAAAUAUUCUUAAGGUGAACAAGACUGCUAUCCUGGUUACCAGCUAUAGUAGAAUGAAUGAAAUUAAAUUAUUCUGUGAUAGUUAUCAAAUAACAAAAAGAAUUUUAUUUCAGGAAUUUGAGAACUAGAUUUGAAAUUUAAUCGUUUGCUCCAGAAUGCUAACAUAAACAGUAAUAAUAGAUAGAUGGGUGGGUAGAUAGAUAGAUAGAUAGAUAGAUAGAUAGAUAGAUAGAUAGGUAGAUAGAUAGAUAGAUGAUAGAGACUGCUAGAUAUAGUAUAGAAUAUUCUAUAGUCCUCAUAUGGUCUUUGCCACAUGUUUGUUUGCUUUUUUCAAAAUAUUUAAUGGAAGAAUAAGAAAUCUCAGUUGAUAUAAAAAUUCUAGUGAGUCGUGACCAUAUUUGAUAAAAAGGUCUUGGCAGAUGUAAUUAUGUAAAGGUUCUUGAGAUGAGAUCAUCCUAUAUUAUCUAGGUUGUCUCUAAAUCCAGUGACAAAUGUCCUUAUGACCGCAGAAAGACAGACACCAGGAGAAGAAGAAAAGUCCACGCAAAGAAAGAUGAAGGUAGAGGUAGGAGUUAUCCAGCCACAAGCCACAGAAUGCCUGGAACCUCCCUAAGCUGAAAGAGGCUAAGACAAAGUCCCCUCUAGAGCCAUCAGAGUGAGUGUGGCCCUGCCAGCACCUUGAGUUUGUACUCUGGCCUCCAGGACUCUAAGCAAAAAAAUUUCUGGGGGAUUUUUUAAGCCAUGAAGCUUUGUGGUCAUUUGUUAAAACAGCCCUAGGAAACUAGUAUCCACCUAUUUCAUGGUAUGUUAAGCAUGGAACCUAUUCCAGAGUAAGUACUUCAUCAUAUUAUUGGUGUUAUUCUUGCCCUUGCCAUGCUCCAAGUUCUCUAGAAGCUGGAAAAGGCAAGGAAGCCUACAGAUGGAAUUCAGCCCUAUAGAUACCUUGAUUUUAGCCCCUCAAGAUUCAUUUCAAACUUCUGAUCUCCAGAACUAUAAGAGAAGACAUUCAUGUUGUUAUAAGCCACAAAGUUUGCGGCAGCAAAUACAAAUGCAAAGGUGAAUAAGAAAGUAAUCUUAUUUCCUUUUACUAUAUCUCUUUCGAAAGGCAGCAUGAUAGAGUUGAAUGGCCCCAAAGAACUCCAUCAUCUGAGCUGACUCCUUGUCCCCUAAGACUACGUGGCAAGGGAGAGAGUCUUAAGGUCUCCAGAAGUUCUCAGGUGUCAUACACAAAUGCGGUCUGGCAGGAAGGAGAAAUUGAGCAAGUAAGUGCUUUUCAGAGUUUACAAAGGAAGUAGGCCAAAUGGCAGGAGAAAAUUCAAUGAUGAUGGAAAUCUGACAUGGAAGCCAAAAUUAGCCUUCUGGAAAAAGGAUGCUCCUUUAAGUUUCCAGUCUUAGCUUAAAGUUUUCUAUGGAUCAUGCAUCCUACUCCAUGCUAGAGCUGUGUUAGCUUGAAUGUGAAAUGAAUGUCUUAAAUAGGUUAUGGCUAAAGUGG